ensembl:lncRNA
CAGCUGCAAAACAAAGGGAGCAUGCAUGGCAAAACAUAGCCGACAGAGUCAAUGCGUGAGUGUUAAUAUAAACAUUGAUCUAGGGAUUUCCACCCAUUUAACACGUUAUUUUAUCAUAUGUUAUUUUAUUUGUUAUUUCAUACAUUUUAUUUUGUGAUGUGAUGUGAGCGCAGGUGCAACCCAACAGGCCCCAAACGUUCCUGGCAGCAAGUAAAAAUGAAAUAUAAAAAUAUAGUCCAAACAGGUGAGGUGUAAUUGUAUUAUGAGCCAUAGUGCUUGGUCUGUUUGUCCUAUGUAAAUCAAUUGCAGUUAGAGGCUACAUUAAUUUUCUUUCUGUAAUUAUUGAAAUUAUUGAAAUUAUCUGAGCACAUUACAAGUACAUAUUUGCUUACUCUGUAUGCUCAAAUGUGACCCCGUUAUAGCCAACAGAAAAAAAGCGGAGGCCCGAAAAACAGGUGGGGGUCCUCCACCACUCACAGAGGCUGAGCAGUUGGCCCUCAGCCAAAACAGUGGGCGCCCUGUGGCCGAAGGCAUCUCUGCGGGGACAUCCUCUGAGUCAAUAACCCCGCAAGACACAAGUGCCUAAAUAGGGGGUAAAUUCAAAAUAAUACAUGAUGUGCAUACAUCCUUUCUUCAUAGUCACCUUUGCAGUGCGACACAUUCAUUUGAUAAACUCUUUACCAUAAUGGAUUAUUUUGUAGUGAAGUUAUUUUCCUACUGAUUUUGCCUUCCCUCAGUCUUGGUUGUCUUUGAGAGCAUAAUGACAAUGAAGUGUAAGGUGAUUGGUAUGUUUGUUAAUUGCCAUUUGGUCCCUUGUAAGUUAUAAGUGACCUGUGUAAACCUCAUAUUCUAUCAGUUGAUGGUGGUGGUGUACUGCAUCUGGUGCAGCCUCCUGUUGAGCCAGACCAACAUGCAGUUGUGAGUAAUACUCCACAGAUUAUAUGAGUUUACAGUAGAACAGCAAUGUUGUUAACUUCUUUACUACAGGAAAAUAAUGAAGAAACAUUGACAGCUGUUACAGAGGAGGAAGCAACAGAGACACUUUAUGAGGUUUACAUCUUUUAAUACUUUGUGUACAGGAAACACAGGCGACCAAUAAAGCCAGUUGAAC